rnacentral:rRNA from 1 species
CCCCCACAUUGGUACUGAGACACGGACCAAACUGGUACGGGAGGCAGCAGUGAGGAAUAUUGGUCAAUGGGCGUAAGCCUGAACCAGCCAAGUCGCGUGAGGGAUGAAGGUUCUAUGGAUCGUAAACCUCUUUUAUAAGGGAAUAAAGUGCGGGACGUGUCCCGUUUUGUAUGUACCUUAUGAAUAAGGAUCGGCUAACUCCGUGCCAGCAGCCGCGGUAAUACGGAGGAUCCGAGCGUUAUCCGGAUUUAUUGGGUUUAAAGGGUGCGUAGGCGGCCUUUUAAGUCAGCGGUGAAAGUCUGUGGCUCAACCAUAGAAUUGCCGUUGAAACUGGGAGGCUUGAGUAUGUUUGAGGCAGGCGGAAUGCGUGGUGUAGCGGUGAAAUGCUUAGAUAUCGCGCAGAACCCCGAUUGCGAAGGCAGCCUGCCAAGCCAUGACUGACGCUGAUGCACGAAAGCGUGGGGAUCAAACAGGAUUAGAUACCCUGGUAGUCCACGCAGU